GACGAACGCUGGCGGCGUGCCUAAUACAUGCAAGUAGAACGCUGAAGGAGGAGCUUGCUUCUCUGGAUGAGUUGCGAACGGGUGAGUAACGCGUAGGUAACCUGCCUGGUAGCGGGGGAUAACUAUUGGAAACGAUAGCUAAUACCGCAUAAUAUUGACUAUUGCAUGAUAGUCAGUUGAAAGGUGCAACUGCACCACUACCAGAUGGACCUGCGUUGUAUUAGCUAGUUGGUGGGGUAACGGCUCACCAAGGCGACGAUACAUAGCCGACCUGAGAGGGUGAUCGGCCACACUGGGACUGAGACACGGCCCAGACUCCUACGGGAGGCAGCAGUAGGGAAUCUUCGGCAAUGGACGGAAGUCUGACCGAGCAACGCCGCGUGAGUGAAGAAGGUUUUCGGAUCGUAAAGCUCUGUUGUAAGAGAAGAACGAGUGUGAGAGUGGAAAGCUCACACUGUGACGGUAUCUUACCAGAAAGGGACGGCUAACCACGUG
rnacentral:rRNA from 1 species